rnacentral:rRNA from 1 species
AGAGUUUGAUCCUGGCUCAGAACGAACGCUGGCGGCGUGGAUAAGACAUGCAAGUCGAACGAGAGAAUUGCUAGCUUGCUAAUAAUUCUCUAGUGGCGCACGGGUGAGUAACACGUGAGUAACCUGCCCCCGAGAGCGGGAUAGCCCUGGGAAACUGGGAUUAAUACCGCAUAGUAUCGAAAGAUUAAAGCAGCAAUGCGCUUGGGGAUGGGCUCGCGGCCUAUUAGUUAGUUGGUUAGGUAACGGCUCACCAAGGCGAUGACGGGUAGCCGGUCUGAGAGGAUGUCCGGCCACACUGGAACUGAGACACGGUCCAGACACCUACGGGUGGCAGCAGUCGAGAAUCAUUCACAAUGGGGGAAACCCUGAUGGUGCGACGCCGCGUGGGGGAAUGAAGGUCUUCGGAUUGUAAACCCCUGUCAUGUGGGAGCAAAUUAAAAAGAUAGUACCACAAGAGGAAGAGACGGCUAACUCUGUGCCAGCAGCCGCGGUAAUACAGAGGUCUCAAGCGUUGUUCGGAAUCACUGGGCGUAAAGCGUGCGUAGGCUGUUUCGUAAGUCGUGUGUGAAAGGCGCGGGCUCAACCCGCGGACGGCACAUGAUACUGCGAGACUAGAGUAAUGGAGGGGGAACCGGAAUUCUCGGUGUAGCAGUGAAAUGCGUAGAUAUCGAGAGGAACACUCGUGGCGAAGGCGGGUUCCUGGACAUUAACUGACGCUGAGGCACGAAGGCCAGGGGAGCGAAAGGGAUUAGAUACCCCUGUAGUCCUGGCAGUAAACGGUGCACGCUUGGUGUGCGGGGAAUCGACCCCCUGCGUGCCGGAGCUAACGCGUUAAGCGUGCCGCCUGGGGAGUACGGUCGCAAGAUUAAAACUCAAAGAAAUUGACGGGGACCCGCACAAGCGGUGGAGUAUGUGGCUUAAUUCGAUGCAACGCGAAGAACCUUACCUGGGCUUGACAUGUAAUGAACAACAUGUGAAAGUAUGCGACUCUUCGGAGGCGUUACACAGGUGCUGCAUGGCCGUCGUCAGCUCGUGUCGUGAGAUGUUUGGUUAAGUCCAGCAACGAGCGCAACCCCUGUUGCCAGUUACCAGCACGUGAAGGUGGGGACUCUGGCGAGACUGCCCAGAUCAACUGGGAGGAAGGUGGGGACGACGUCAGGUCAGUAUGGCCCUUAUGCCCAGGGCUGCACACGUACUACAAUGCCCAGUACAGAGGGGGCCGAAGCCGCGAGGCGGAGGAAAUCCUAAAAACUGGGCCCAGUUCGGACUGUAGGCUGCAACCCGCCUACACGAAGCCGGAAUCGCUAGUAAUGGCGCAUCAGCUACGGCGCCGUGAAUACGUUCCCGGGUCUUGCACUCACCGCCCGUCA